rnacentral:lncRNA from 1 species
UGGGCGUGAGCAAAGUCAAUACAGAAAUUUGUAAAUAAAGUUGCUUUCCGUUUAGUACCAGGCGAGUAGCUCGAAUGGCAGAGGGGCAGAGCAGAGCGGCGGGGCUCCGUGAAAUCCGGAGACACGCCCUAGUGAUCCACAAAUUUCGGAAUGUUCAAUUGUUGAGAUAUUUUAGAGCACAAUAGUAUGCUACAGUCCAAGAAGCUUUGCAACACUCUAGGAGAUUGCAACAAUUUGCAGGUAGAUUGAACACGAAUUGUAGAUCUGGAUUUUUCGGCACAACCAAUUAAUUUGCGAGGAAGGUAACCAGCAAAGUUAGAGCGUUUUAAGAAUUUUAGUUCCCGAAUCAGCAGAACUCAACGUAGUUAAACACUAAUGCAUUGAGAGACAUGGAGAAACGGAGGGACAUCAGUCAACGGAAAGAAGGCCUCAGUAACGUCCAGAAAGAACCAGUGUAUGGAUUACAAUGUAAGGUCCAAUCG